UACAGAGGGGGCAAGCGUUGUUCGGAAUUACUGGGCGUAAAGGGCGCGUAGGCGGCCUCUUAAGUCGAACGUGAAAUCCCCGGGCUCAACCCCGGGAACUGCGUCCGAUACUGGGGGGCUUGAAUCCGGGAGAGGGAUGUGGAAUUCCAGGUGUAGCGGUGAAAUGCGUAGAUAUCUGGAGGAACACCGGUGGCGAAGGCGGCAUCCUGGGACCGGUAUUGACGCUGAGGCGCGAAAGCCAGGGGAGCAAAGCGGG
rnacentral:rRNA from 1 species